CGUAGGUGACCCGCUGAGUUUAAGCAUAAGGUUUCCGUAGGUGAACCUGGUGGGCUUAAAGCAACCGUUCCAGUCGUUGCCUCAUCUCCCUGGGUGGGGGGCACGAUGAAGUUCGGAUGAAACUCGAGCCGGCGCAAUUCCGCGCCAAGUGAAUGUGCAAAAUGAGCCCUACACCGGGUUUAGUAGCGUGGGGUGCUGUCGCACACCACGUGGAUUAACACGACUCUCGGCAAUGGAUAUCUCGGCUCUCGCAUCGAUGAAGAGCGCAGCGAAAUGCGAUACGUGGUGUGAAUUGCAGAAUCCCGCGAACCAUCGAGUCUUUGAACGCAAGUUGCGCCCGAGGCCAACCGGCCAAGGGCACGUCUGCCUGGGCGUCAAGCGCUGCGUCGCUCCGUGCCAACGCAUCAUCCCGCCAACGGGUGUGUGGGGCCAAGGCUCGGAUGUGCAGAGUGGCUCGCCGUGCCCGUUUGGUGCGCGGCGGGCUGAAGAGCGGGUUACCGUCUCAUUGGCCACGAUCGAUAAAGGGGUGGAUAAAAGCUGUGAGCGAGGCUUACGUUGUCUCAUGCUGGCCUGAGAAGGCUUAUACAUUCCAGGUGAUCCCAACCCAUGCGCCGAUCCACAGGCGGCGGCUUGGACUGCGACCCCAGGAUGGGCGAGGCCACCCGCUG
rnacentral:rRNA from 1 species